UGGGGAAUAUUGGACAAUGGGCGAAAGCCUGAUCCAGCCAUGCCGCGUGUGUGAAGAAGGUCUUCGGAUUGUAAAGCACUUUAAGUUGGGAGGAAGGGCAGUAAGCGAAUACCUUGCUGUUUUGACGUUACCGACAGAAUAAGCACCGGCUAACUCUGUGCCAGCAGCCGCGGUAAUACAGAGGGUGCAAGCGUUAAUCGGCAUUACUGGUCGUAAAGCGCGCGUAGGUGGUUCGUUAAGUUGAAUGUGAAAGCCCCGGGCUCAACCUGGGAACUGCAUCCAAAACUGGCGAGCUAGAGUAGGGCAGAGGGUGGUGGAAUUUCCUGUGUAGCGGUGAAAUGCGUAGAUAUAGGAAGGAACACCAGUGGCGAAGGCGACCACCUGGGCUCAUACUGACACUGAGGUGCGAAAGCGUGGGGAGCAAACAGG
rnacentral:rRNA from 1 species